rnacentral:rRNA from 1 species
CAGCAGCCGCGGGAAAACGAAGGGGGCUAGCGUUGUUCGGAUUUACUGGGCGUAAAGGGUGCGUAGGCGGACUGAUAAGUCAGGGGUGAAAUCCCAAGGCUCAACCUUGGAACUGCCUUUGAUACUGUUAGUCUUGAGUUCGAGAGAGGUGAGUGGAACUGCGAGUGUAGAGGUGAAAUUCGUAGAUAUUCGCAAGAACACCAGUGGCGAAGGCGGCUCACUGGCUCGAAACUGACGCUGAGGCACGAAAGCGUGGGGAGCAAACAGGAUUAGAUACCCGGGUAGUCCCUGUCUCUUAUAC